rnacentral:lncRNA from 1 species
CCCUUUGUAUCGUUAUGACGGUUAUGGUAUCGUGAACGACAGUUCCACUAUAAUAUGUAGAUAUGUUGUUUGAUGAAUUAUGUAUGAUUGCGUUCAAUCCGUAUGACCACUCCUUAACACCGCAGCAUUGUAUUACUCUGGUGCAGGCUGGAACCUCGGAAUUGAUGCACUAUAUACAAUAGAACCAUUGUAGGUUAAUUUAGCUAUCAAAUAUGAAAAUGCUCUAACGAGUGUGGCAUCCUUCCACACGAA